UACGGAGGGUGCAAGCGUUAUCCGGAUUUACUGGGUUAAAGGGUGUGUAGGCGGGCUUUUAAGUCAGUGGUGAAAUCUCCGGGCUCAACCUGGAAACUGCCAUUGAUACUAUUAGUCUUGAAUUUUGUUGAGGUAGGCGGAAUAAGUCAUGUAGCGGUGAAAUGCAUAGAUAUGACUUAGACACCAAUUGCGAAGGCAGCUUGCUAAACAAUAUGACGCUGAGGCACUGAAAGCGUGGGGAUCAAACAGG
rnacentral:rRNA from 1 species